rnacentral:lncRNA from 1 species
GUGAUCUUCAAGCCAUGAGUACACCACCACUAUGCACCUUGCAGCAGGAAACACAGGCACAUGUUUAUUGUGGAUUUUCGAAGACAAGCAUUCAGUAAGAGUUUGUUAUUGUAUGAAGCAGAUAAACAAUUGGAUGUCCAGUCAGAUUUGUUGGAAGCUUGGAUAACUGAAGCUGUAAAGAUGGUUGAGUAAAGAAAUGCAUUGUGGGAAAUCAGGACUGAUUAGUUUGAACCCUGGUAACUGAAUCUUAGCAACAUCAGACUGUGAGAUAAAGCGUGGAAGUCAAAUUUUAACAUAAAGAAAUGAAGCAAUGAACUUUGAGAAACAGACUACAAUAAUUUGUUUGAAUUAUGUAGUGUACAGUAUACUGGUACUUGAAGCUUAGUGAACUCUGAUGUAUGGACAUGAAGCAGAUAAAUUGUGGAAAUUCUAAACCACAACAGACAUUUGUUGUGCAUUCAUAAAAUGAAUGAUUAUGAAUUGAAGUACUGUUUGCCAAGUGAAGUUUGUGAUUUAGUAAGUAAAAUAAGUGUUGACCUUUAAAAAUGCUGAAAUUUUUGACUGAUUCUGGACCUAGUUAAAAAUAGAAUGUUGGCCCG